rnacentral:rRNA from 1 species
CAAUAGCGUAUAUUUAAGUUGUUGCAGUUAAAAAUCUCGUAGUUGGAUUUCGGUUGAGAACGGCCGGUCCGCCGUUUGGUGUGCACCGGCUGGUUUCAACUUCCUGUAGAGGACGCGCUCUGGCUUCACGGCUGGACGCGGAGUCUACGUGGUUACUUUGAAAAAAUUAGAGUGUUCAAAGCGGGCUUACGCUUGAAUAUUUCAGCAUGGAAUAACACUAUAGGACUCCUGUCCUAUUUCGUUGGUCUCGGGACGGGAGUAAUGAUUAAGAGGAACAGUUGGGGGCAUUCGUAUUUCAUUGUCAGAGGUGAAAUUCUUGGAUUUAUGAAAGACGAACUUCUGCGAAAGCAUUUGCCAAGGAUGUUUNCAUUAA